AAUAAAAUAUUACAUCCGCCUAAAAUAUCACAUCCCCCAUUGAAAAAACGAAAGCGAGAUUGCGCGUUCAAGUCAUUGCACUUAGAAGUGUAUCAAAUACGUCCGAAACAUUCAAUUAUAAACAAUAUAAUUAAAACGCAACGAGAUUCAUAAAAACGUGUUUCUACUAAUAUACUAUAAAUGAAAUUAGCAUAAAAUGACAAAAGUUUUUGAAUACCUUAUGCCGUCUUCGUAUUAAAUCAGUUUUAAUUGGCAAUUCAUCCAGUGAGAGUAGCCCAGCUGGCUACAGUACUUCGAUUCGAUUCUUCAAAGCAUCAAUAAAUGGAAUGGCAUUCAAUAUAUUGUUUUAUAUUUAGAAUUCAAAUUUUAUUUAAAUGAAGGCAAA
rnacentral:lncRNA from 1 species